rnacentral:lncRNA from 1 species
GCCGGGUGCAUUUUUUUUGCACAAAUAAGGUGACGCGGUACCACUCAAGCCUGUCACUCGCAGACUACUGCACUGGGAAUUUAUCGAGAAACAUAGUUGCUAUCUUGCAAUGAACUUGACUUCAAGCACACAAGAUUGACAGGGGAACAAAGAAGGAAAAAAAAUGAUGGUAGUAUAUUCUGCAAAUUUGUGCUUCUUUUGACAUUCAUAUGAUUAUUAUUUUAGUCGAGUGG